CUGGUUGUGUUUGAUCCACUGGUGUAUUUCCGAACCUCCUAGCACAGGCUAGGUGCCUAGUAGGUGCUCAGGACAGAGGCAUACUGAACACCUGCUACAGGCGCAGCAUGGUGUGGGAAGGUCUGGAAAAGACAAAGAGCCUACUCUCAGGAGCGCACGAUUUCUACUACGGGAGGAAGAUGUAAAGAGGGGACAACACAAGCUCUGCUGAGAGGCAGACCACAGUUGAUGAAGAUCCAGCCAGUGGCAGGAGCACCGCCCAGGCAGGCCCAGCAAAUAGUUGCCAAAUGAAAGACUGGCUGAUUUAUUUCUCUGCAAAGAGGGGCAGAAAAUUCAGUGAAUGCUGUCUUUCCAGUCGACUCUUUAGGGACCUCAAGGAAUGACUGCCGAUCUACCUAAAAUUCCAGAGUGACUUCAAAGGACCUCAUAGACCCAUAGACCCUGAGCUGGAAGGAGCCAGAAGAUCCAUCUACUUAAACAUCUCUACCUCCCCAACCAUGCAGAACAGAACUCUACAAAGCCAGAAAGGUUUACAAAGACAAAGUUUGGUGUAUUCUCUGGCACUUGGCAAUUCCAGGAACUACCUUUAAAGUGAGACAAGUAUAUAAAGGGCCGGCCGAGUGGCGCGUUGGUUAAG